UCUAUUAAUGUCAGAGUCACCAAAAACAGGCAAUAAAGUUUACACAGAAGAUUGAAAACAUCAUGAUAGUGUUAACAAAUGCACAAAACUUUGAGCAAAGCUUUACAAAUCCUUCAUACCAUACAAAGCAAAUGAGAAAAUAAUGUAAAUUUUCAUCCCAAACCUUAUUCUUAGGAGAAAAUUUGCAGGAAGAGAGGUAUGAAUAGUUUCACAGAACAUAUUUUCAAGAAUUUUUUAAAAACUCAAACUCCAAUCAGAACUAGAUGAACAGUAUGCUUAGCAGUUAGCACUAUGUUAAUAAGUCUUAGAUACACAAAAAUCAAGUUCCAGAGGGCAAAGUAUUUAAUUACAUUUCACAACAAGAGAAGCACUGUUGUGAGACCAAAUAUGAAACACAAUUCUCUCCAAUUUCUACACAAACCAAGAUUCCCAAGCAGUGCUGAAGUUUUCUGCACUCUCUGUCUUUGGAAUGAGAAAUGAUUACUUAACAGAAAACUUAAAUUGAACAGCAUAUACAAACAUAUUGCUUUUUUAGUUGAGGAGGCAAUUAUCUAGUGAUCUGUCAAAGCAAAUUUGUAUUCGUGAAUUACCAAAAGACCCACAACACAGCCAUCU
rnacentral:lncRNA from 1 species